rnacentral:rRNA from 1 species
GUGAGCAACCUGCCCCUGACUCUGGGAUAAGCGCUGGAAACGGCGUCUAAUACUGGAUAUGUGACGUGACCGCAUGGUCUGCGUCUGGAAAGAAUUUCGGUUGGGGAUGGGCUCGCGGCCUAUCAGCUUGUUGGUGAGGUAAUGGCUCACCAAGGCGUCGACGGGUAGCCGGCCUGAGAGGGUGACCGGCCACACUGGGACUGAGACACGGCCCAGACUCCUACGGGAGGCAGCAGUGGGGAAUAUUGCACAAUGGGCGCAAGCCUGAUGCAGCAACGCCGCGUGAGGGACGACGGCCUUCGGGUUGUAAACCUCUUUUAGCAGGGAAGAAGCGAAAGUGACGGUACCUGCAGAAAAAGCGCCGGCUAACUACGUGCCAGCAGCCGCGGUAAUACGUAGGGCGCAAGCGUUAUCCGGAAUUAUUGGGCGUAAAGAGCUCGUAGGCGGUUUGUCGCGUCUGCUGUGAAAUCCGGAGGCUCAACCUCCGGCCUGCAGUGGGUACGGGCAGACUAGAGUGCGGUAGGGGAGAUUGGAAUUCCUGGUGUAGCGGUGGAAUGCGCAGAUAUCAGGAGGAACACCGAUGGCGAAGGCAGAUCUCUGGGCCGUAACUGACGCUGAGGAGCGAAAGGGUGGGGAGCAAACAGGCUUAGAUACCCUGGUAGUCCACCCCGUAAACGUUGGGAACUAGUUGUGGGGUCCAUUCCACGGAUUCCGUGACGCAGCUAACGCAUUAAGUUCCCCGCCUGGGGAGUACGGCCGCAAGGCUAAAACUCAAAGGAAUUGACGGGGACCCGCACAAGCGGCGGAGCAUGCGGAUUAAUUCGAUGCAACGCGAAGAACCUUACCAAGGCUUGACAUAUACGAGAACGGGCCAGAAAUGGUCAACUCUUUGGACACUCGUAAACAGGUGGUGCAUGGUUGUCGUCAGCUCGUGUCGUGAGAUGUUGGGUUAAGUCCCGCAACGAGCGCAACCCUCGUUCUAUGUUGCCAGCACGUAAUGGUGGGAACUCAUGGGAUACUGCCGGGGUCAACUCGGAGGAAGGUGGGGAUGACGUCAAAUCAUCAUGCCCCUUAUGUCUUGGGCUUCACGCAUGCUACAAUGGCCGGUACAAAGGGCUGCAAUACCGCGAGGUGGAGCGAAUCCCAAAAAGCCGGUCCCAGUUCGGAUUGAGGUCUGCAACUCGACCUCAUGAAGUCGGAGUCGCUAGUAAUCGCAGAUCAGCAACGCUGCGGUGAAUACGUUCCCGGGUCUUGUA